UAGAAAAUUUUUCUUUUGGCAGCUACA
rnacentral:piRNA from 1 species